UGCAAGUCGAGGGGUAGAAGAAGCUUGCUUCUUUGAGACCGGCGCACGGGUGCGUAACGCGUAUGCAAUCUACCUUUCACAGAGGGAUAGCCCAGAGAAAUUUGGAUUAAUACCUCAUAGUAAUACGACUUGGCAUCAAGAUGUAUUUAAAGAUUUAUCGGUGAAAGAUGAGCAUGCGUCCCAUUAGCUAGUUGGUAUGGUAACGGCAUACCAAGGCUACGAUGGGUAGGGGUCCUGAGAGGGAGAUCCCCCACACUGGUACUGAGACACGGACCAGACUCCUACGGGAGGCAGCAGUGAGGAAUAUUGGACAAUGGGCGCAAGCCUGAUCCAGCCAUGCCGCGUGCAGGAUGACGGUCCUAUGGAUUGUAAACUGCUUUUAUACAGGAAGAAACACCUCUACGUGUAGAGACUUGACGGUACUGUAAGAAUAAGGAUCGGCUAACUCCGUGCCAGCAGCCGCGGUAAUACGGAGGAUCCAAGCGUUAUCCGGAAUCAUUGGGUUUAAAGGGUCCGUAGGCGGUCAGGUAAGUCAGUGGUGAAAGCCCAUCGCUCAACGGUGGAACGGCCAUUGAUACUGCUUGACUUGAAUUAUUAGGAAGUAACUAGAAUAUGUAGUGUAGCGGUGAAAUGCUUAGAGAUUACAUGGAAUACCAAUUGCGAAGGCAGGUUACUACUAAUAUAUUGACGCUGAUGGACGAAAGCGUGGGUAGCGAACAGGAUUAGAUACCCUGGUAGUCCACGCCGUAAACGAUGGAUACUAGCUGUUGGGAGCAAUCUCAGUGGCUAAGCGAAAGUGAUAAGUAUCCCACCUGGGGAGUACGAACGCAAGUUUGAAACUCAAAGGAAUUGACGGGGGCCCGCACAAGCGGUGGAGCAUGUGGUUUAAUUCGAUGAUACGCGAGGAACCUUACCAAGGCUUAAAUGUAGAUUGACCGGUUUGGAAACAGAUCUUUCGCAAGACAAUUUACAAGGUGCUGCAUGGUUGUCGUCAGCUCGUGCCGUGAGG
rnacentral:rRNA from 1 species